rnacentral:rRNA from 1 species
UAAAGGAAGCGAUUCCGGCUACGGAUGGUCAUGCGUCGCAUUAGCUAGUUGGCGGGGUAACGGCCCACCAAGGCGACGAUGCGUAGGGGUUCUGAGAGGAAGGUCCCCCACACUGGUACUGAGACACGGACCAGACUCCUACGGGAGGCAGCAGUGAGGAAUAUUGGUCAAUGGCCGCAGGGCUGAACCAGCCAAGUCGCGUGAGGGAUGACGGUCCUAUGGAUUGUAAACCUCUUUUGUCAGGGAGCAAAGGGCGCCACGUGUGGCGCUUUGCGAGUACCUGAAGAAAAAGCAUCGGCUAACUCCGUGCCAGCAGCCGCGGUAAUACGGAGGAUGCGAGCGUUAUCCGGAUUUAUUGGGUUUAAAGGGUGCGCAGGCGGAAUGUCAAGUCAGCGGUAAAAUUUCGGGGCUCAACCCCGUCGUGCCGUUGAAACUGGCGUUCUUGAGUGAGCGAGAAGUAUGCGGAAUGCGUGGUGUAGCGGCGAAAUGCAUAGAUAUCACGCAGAACUCCGAUUGCGAAGGCAGCAUACCGGCGCUCAACUGACGCUCAUGCACGAAAGCGUGGGUAUCGAACAGGAUUAGAUACCCUGGUAGUCCACGCAGU